rnacentral:rRNA from 1 species
AGCGUAGACGGAACGGCAAGUUUGAAGUGAAAUACCCGGGCUUAACCCGGGAACUGCUUUGAAAACUGUCGAUCUAGAGUGUCGGAGAGGUAAGUGGAAUUCCUGGUGUAGUAGUGAAAUGCGUAGAUAUCAGGAAGAACACCGGAGGCGAAGGCGGCUUACUGGACGAUAACUGACGUUGAGGCUCGAAAGCGUGGGGAGCAAACA